rnacentral:rRNA from 1 species
CCCUUAGAUGUUCUGGGCCGCACGCGCGCUACACUGACGAAUGCAACGAGCUUAUAACCUUGGCCGAAAGGUCUGGGUAAUCUCCAAAUUUCGUCGUGAUGGGGAUAGAUUAUUGCAAUUAUUAAUCUUCAACGAGGAAUGCCUAGUAAGCGCAAGUCAUCAGCUUGCGUUGAUUACGUCCCUGCCCUUUGUACACACCGCCCGUCGCUCCUACCGAUUGAAUGGUCCGGUGAAGCGCUCGGACCGCGGCCUCUUGACGGUUUUCCGUCGAUUGGCUGUGGGAAGUUCGUUAAACCUUAUCAUUUAGAGGAAGGAGAAGUCGUAACG